UACGGAGGGUGCAAGCGUUAUCCGGAUUUAUUGGGUUUAAAGGGUGCGUAGGCGGUUUGAUAAGUCAGCGGUGAAAUAUUUCAGCUUAACUGGAAGGGUGCCGUUGAUACUGUCGAGCUUGAAUUUAGUUGCUGUGGGUGGAAUGUGUGGUGUAGCGGUGAAAUGCAUAGAUAUCACACAGAAUAUCGAUUGCGAAGGCAGCUCACAAAGCUAAUAUUGACGCUGAUGCACGAAAGUGUGGGGAUCAAACAGG
rnacentral:rRNA from 2 species